rnacentral:rRNA from 1 species
CAGCCGCCGCGGUAAUACGAAGGGUGCAAGCGUUAAUCGGAAUUACUGGGCGUAAAGCGUGCGUAGGCGGUUUGUUAAGUCUGUUGUGAAAUCCCCGGGUUCAACCUGGGAAUGGCAAUGGAUACUGGCAAGCUAGAGUGUGUCAGAGGAUGGUGGAAUUCCCGGUGUAGCGGUGAAAUGCGUAGAGAUCGGGAGGAACAUCAGUGGCGAAGGCGGCCAUCUGGGACAACACUGACGCUGAGGCACGAAAGCGUGGGGAGCAAACAGGAUUAGAUACCCCGGUAGUCCCUGUCUCUUAUAC